CCGCCCGGCCGAGGGCCGCUCGGGCUGGUGGCGUUAGGAACGGGGGCCGCUGGAAUGGCGUCCAUUUACAUAAUGCUUUGUUUGCACUUGGUCGGCUCCGGUUAGGGAAGCCCUCGGAGGCGCUACCUCCUGCCCUCGUGUUUUAUGUCCCACGACAGUUCCCGAGACCUUAGAGGAGCGGUGCGCAUUGACGGGGUGCCGGCAUGGCCCCCCGCAUGUCCGCGCUGGCUCGCCCGCCGCCUGGACCACGCUCUCGGGAGGCGGCCAAGCCUGGGCGCCGCCGCCAUCUUGGGAGGUCGCCCUGACCGAGGCCUCCCGCCGGGAAAUGGCCCUCGAGACGCUGGAGAGCGCCUUGUGCUUUCUUUGCCGGCUCCUCGUGCCGCCGCCAUAGUCAGCCUGGAGGAGGUCGUGUGAAGGAACGUGUUGUUUAAUACUUGACCGAAAGGACCAGCGUGGCGUUCCUCACCCCACCCCCACCCCCGGAGCGGGGAGGGCUGGCGGCCAUGUUUCCCAACAAAAUGGCGACACGUGUCGCCAUCGAGAAAUUGGGCAGGAGCAAGACAAUCCCAGAGAGAUGAAGUGACUGACCCAAGGUUACACAGAGUGGAAUCUGUAUCUUCUGAUUUCUCUACUGGCCUGCACUCCAUGUUCUGAGGAGGAAUCCUUGAAGCUACUGAGAUAAUGGAACAAUGGAGUAGAUAGUCCAUUAUAACUCAUCUGGGAUUCUUCUCAUCUUCAAGUGACCACAGNNNNNNNNNNAGUAGCCAGUGUUAAUUAUAACUGUUACCAAGGCCUAAUAACUUAUCAGUUCAACUUUGAACUCUGAAGUCUUAGGUUGUGUGUGGUCUAUAAUCUCAUUUUUCACAUGCCUUAAAUCACUUCUUCAGAACUUUACAACUUAGGUUCACACACCUUAAAUUAUGUCUUUAGACCUUUAUAAGUUACAUUUAAAAAAAAAAAGAUUUAUUUAUUGUUAUAGCUGUCCUCAGACACACCAGGAGAGGGUGUCAGAUCUCAUUACGGAUGGUUGUGAGCCACCAUGUGGUUGCUGGGAUUUGAACUCAGGCCCCCUGGAAGAGCAGUCAGUGCUCUUAAGCGCUGAGCCAUCUCGCCAGCCCAAGUCACAUACAUUUUAAACUUCUUUUUUAAUCUGGAAAUAUCUGAUCAUUUCCGUGAGACAGAAGAGCUAGGUUACUGGGCACAGUCACUGGAGGGCAACUUCUUUUAGAGAAAGGAACAGUGACAAAGCUGUGGUCUGCAGCAACAGCAGCAGCAGGAUAGCUUCAGUGGGCUUUUACACUGAAACCUGUUUUGUCAGUUUCUCUUUUUCUGCAAGAGGCUUGUUACUCUAGGAAAACCACACCUGGCUUUUACAUGAGAAACUAAUUCAGGCUGGCUGCUAAUUGAGUUUCAGUUUUAAAACCCUUAUUUUUUUUUAAUUUUAAUUAAAAUAUUUUACUCAUUUAUUUUGUCAGUAUCAGAGGACAAUUUGCAGAAAUGGGUUCUGUCCUUCCACCAUGUGGGCCCUGGGCUUGGUCACUGGGCUUGGUGGCAGGCACCUUUAUACCAGGUGAGCCACUUCUCUGGCUCCUAAAGCCUUUUUUAUUAAAGAGACUUAGGUAACUAAA
ensembl:antisense